CCUACGGGUGGCAGCAGUGGGGAAUAUUGGUCAAUGGGGGAAACCCUGAAGCAGCAACGCCGCGUGGAGGAUGACGGUUUUAUGAUUUUAAACUCCUUUUUUGAUAGAAGUUAAUGACUGUAUCUCACGAAUAAUCACCGUCUAACUCCAUUCCAGCAGCCGCGGUAAGACGGAGGGUGCAAGCGUUACACGGAAUUACUGGGCGUAAAGAGGGCGUAGGCGGGUUUGUAAGUCAGAUGUGAAAUGCUGUAGCUUAACUACAAAACUGCAUUUGAAACUAUGAGUCUAGAGUGUAGGAGAGGUAGGUGGAAUUCGUGGUGUAGGGGUAAAAUGCGUAGAUAUCAAGAGGAAUACUCAUUGCGAAGGCGAUCUACUGGAACAUUACUGACGCUCAUGCACGAAAGCGUGGGGAGCAAACAGGAUUAGAUACCCCAGUAGUC
rnacentral:rRNA from 1 species